UACGGAGGGUGCAAGCAUUAAUCGGAAUUAUUGGGCGUAAAGGGCGCGUAGGCGGGGAUGAAAGUCAGAUGUGAAAUCCCGGGGCUCAACCUCGGAACAGCAUUUGAAACUUUAUUUCUUGAGGGUAGGCGGAGAAAACGGAAUUCCACAAGUAGCGGUGAAAUGCGUAGAUAUGUGGAAGAACACCGGUGGCGAAGGCGGUUUUCUAGCUUACUCCUGACGCUGAUGCGCGAAAGCAAGGGGAUCAAACAGG
rnacentral:rRNA from 1 species